UCCCCUUUUUGUUUCAUAACUAUUCCUUCACCGUGUUCUUGUUUCAUCAUCGCUGCUCUCGAAACUAGUCGGCAUACUUAGAGGUAAA
rnacentral:sRNA from 1 species